rnacentral:rRNA from 1 species
UGCAGUCGACGGACUCUUCGGAGUUAGUGGCGGACGGGUGAGUAACACGUGGGAACGUGCCUUUUGGUUCGGAAUAAGCUCGGGAAACUGGGUCUAAUACCGAAUGUGCCCUUCGGGGGAAAGAUUUAUCGCCAUUAGAGCGGCCCGCGUCUGAUUAGCUAGUUGGUGGGGUAAAGGCCCACCAAGGCUACGAUCAGUAGCUGGUCUGAGAGGAUGACCAGCCACAUUGGGACUGAGACACGGCCCAAACUCCUACGGGAGGCAGCAGUGGGGAAUCUUGCGCAAUGGGCGAAAGCCUGACGCAGCCAUGCCGCGUGUAUGAUGAAGGUCUUAGGAUUGUAAAAUACUUUCACCGGUGAAGAUAAUGACUGUAGCCGGAGAAGAAGCCCCGGCUAACUUCGUGCCAGCAGCCGCGGUAAUACGAAGGGGGCUAGCGUUGCUCGGAAUUACUGGGCGUAAAGGGAGCGUAGGCGGACAUUUAAGUCAGGGGUGAAAUCCCAGAGCUCAACUCUGGAACUGCCUUUGAUACUGGGUGUCUUGAGUGUGAUAGAGGUAUGUGGAACUCCGAGUGUAGAGGUGAAAUUCGUAGAUAUUCGGAAGAACACCAGUGGCGAAGGCGACAUACUGGAUCAUUACUGACGCUGAGGCUCGAAAGCGUGGGGAGCAAACAGGAUUAGA